AGAAACUUAGGUUACUUAUCUAAACCGGAGGCCUUCAAAGCCUCAAACAGGGUCUCAACCCCCUAGUUUCUG
rnacentral:tRNA from 1 species